CCUACGGGUGGCUGCAGUGAGGAAUAUUGGUCAAUGGGCGCGAGCCUGAACCAGCGAAGCAGCGUGAAGGAUGACUGCCCUCCGGGUUGUAAACUUCUUUUAUAAAGGAAUAAAGUGAGGCACGUGUGCCUUUUUGUAUGUACUUUAUGAUUAAGGAUCGGCUAACUCCGUGCCAGCAGCCGCGGUAAUACGGAGGAUCCGAGCGUUAUCCGGAUUUAUUGGGUUUAAAGGGAGCGUAGAUGGGUUGGUAAGUCAGUUGUGAAAGUUUGCGGCUCAACCGUAAAAUUGCAAUUGAUACUGGCAGCCUUGAGUACAGUAGAGGUAGGCGGAAUUCGUGGUGUAGCGGUGAAAUGCGUAGAUAUCACGAAGAACUCCGAUUGCGAAGGCAGCCUACUAAACUGCCACUGACAUUGAGGCUCGAAAGUGUGGGGAUCAAACAGGAUUAGAUACCCGAGUAGUC
rnacentral:rRNA from 1 species